GGGAGAUUGAACGCAUUACGUCGUCCAUUUCGUUUCCAAACCUAAAUCAGUUCACAUCGUUCUUUGAUCUUAAAGUAGAAUUUGGCGUAAAUAAAUUCUUAAAAUAAGUUUUCUGUUAGUUGGAUAAUGAGGUUUCCACGAAUCCUUUCAUCAGUUAGGUGUUCUGAUCGCUUGGUUUUUGUAGGAAAUCCUACACAAAAAUGGAACCACUGCAGUGAAUCAAUCCAUUUAAAAUACAGUUGAGUCGGAUCUCGCAAAAUGGAGGCACUCAACUAUAUUCCCGGUGUUGAGCUACACCUUCAACGGAUUUCUCCUCUAAUGGAAAAGGCUAACUGGAGUUAGCUAUGAGGAAAAAUAGCUGUACCGACUUUAGCUUGGCAUUCUCAGGCCACAUGGAAAAAGCCAAUCAUUAAAUGGGUGCCCAUCCAGGUAUCGAACAUUACCAGAAGUACUGUAGAGACAAAAAAAGGAAAUAUGUUCAGGUAACCAUCUGGUAACUAAAAAAGAAAACCCCGCCCGAACGUGAAAUGGCUCAAUAAAACCAAGUUUCAAUAACGAAAAUAAAAUGUUUACUUCCAAUUCAACUUA